rnacentral:rRNA from 1 species
GAUGAACGCUGGCGGCGCGCCUAACACAUGCAAGUCGAACGGCACCCCUCCUCGGAGGGAAGCGAGUGGCGAACGGCUGAGUAACACGUGGAGAACCUGCCCCCUCCCCCGGGAUAGCCGCCCGAAAGGACGGGUAAUACCGGAUACCCCGGGGUGCCGCAUGGCACCCCGGCUAAAGCCCCGACGGGAGGGGAUGGCUCCGCGGCCCAUCAGGUAGACGGCGGGGUGACGGCCCACCGUGCCGACAACGGGUAGCCGGGUUGAGAGACCGACCGGCCAGAUUGGGACUGAGACGCGGCCCAGACUCCUACGGGAGGCAGCAGUGGGGAAUCUUGCGCAAUGGGGGGAACCCUGACGCAGCGACGCCGCGUGCGGGACGGAGGCCUUCGGGUCGUAAACCGCUUUCAGCAGGGAAGAGUCAAGACUGUACCUGCAGAAGAAGCCCCGGCUAACUACGUG